AAGUCUGUUGUUGUAAACAUCCCCGACUGGAAGCUGUGCGAUACAGCUGAGCUUUCAGUCAGAUGUUUGCUGCUACCGGCUC
rnacentral:miRNA from 1 species